UGCCGGCGACCGGCGGACGGGUGCGUAACGCGUAUGUAACCUACCUUUGACAGGGGGAUAACAUCGAGAAAUUGGUACUAAUACCCCAUAACAUCACCGGAGGCAUCUUCGGUGGUUGAAAACUCAGGUGGUCAGAGAUGGACAUGCGUUGUAUUAGCUAGUUGGUGAGGUAACGGCUCACCAAGGCGACGAUACAUAGGGGGACUGAGAGGUCAACCCCCCACAUUGGUACUGAGACACGGUCCAAACUCCUACGGAAGGCAGCAG
rnacentral:rRNA from 1 species